rnacentral:lncRNA from 1 species
AUGGAAAACCACACAGCUUGUCUUCCUGCUGCAUCUCCUGGUGGGCUCAGCGGGCGGAGGAACCUGCCGGGUCGCGCCUCUGUUUCCAACCAUGACUCACACAUCGUCCGCCCUGAAGCCGGGGCGCGCCCUCCCGGGGUGCGGGAGGCGGUGCACGCAGCCAGGACCCAGGGCCCACCCAGGGCCGUACCACUCACGGCAACAGGGACCCGGGUGCCCGGGGUCUGUGCCCGUCGAGCGGCUCCAAGACGGGAAGAGGACGAGGCCCAGCGCAACCACCGCCCUGCGGCCCCCACGGGGUCCCUGGGGACCGCCGCACCCACCUGGGCCGCCCGGCUCACCCCGCCCAGCCUCCGCACCCGGCCCGGCCCCCAGCACACCCACCCGGCCCGGCCAGCCCCCGGGCGCGCCCCCCCCGCCCGCCCCCAGCCCUCGGGGCGGACCGAACCCGCGCGGCACGUCCCCCCCCCUCCCCCCCCCGCCUGUCCCGGUCCGACCCGGGGCGGCCGCGCCUGCGCACCAGCGCCUCCCCCAGCUCCCGUGGCCCCCCUCCCCGGGCCGCACACGCGGCGCCCAGCCCACAGCCAGCGAGCCCCGCGCUGGGCUCCCGCGGCCGCCAAGGCAGGACAGCCCUGCAGGCGGCGGUGGGCGCGGCCCCUCCGGAGCCGACGGGCAGGGCGAGGCAGGGCUCCGGUCGUCGUGCCGCCUUCCGAGGAUGUUGUCAGUGUGAACGCCCAGGUGACGUGGCCGAACCGACCGCUGCACGGGAGAAGGAGGCCGCCCCCCAGGAGCCGCGUCCCCGGAGACACCCGCCCCAGGAGACACCCCCCGGAGACGCCCCACCAGGAGCCGCCCCCACAAGCGGCCGAGGCCCCGGGGAGCCGCAGAGCCUCCCGACGGGACGCGCUGGACAGCGAGCGGGGCAGGGCCGCCCACCUCCGGCCACCCCCGGGAGGCCCGCAGACGGAGCCCAUGCACGGGAGGAGGGCACCGGACCCCGCGGACCAGCUCCCAGGCACCCCGGCUGCUUCUCCACUGGGAAACCCAGGGAUGCUACAGUGA